rnacentral:tRNA from 1 species
GGAGCGUGAAGCGGCGAGGUGUCGCGUCAGAUCGCCAAUCUGAGCGGUCGGGGUAGCUCUCGGCUGGGGUUCGAGUCCCCCGCGCUCCG